rnacentral:rRNA from 1 species
UACGGAGGGUGCAAGCGUUGCUCGGAAUCACUGGGCGUAAAGCGACCGCAGGCGGCCUGACAAGUCGGAUGUGAAAGCCCUGGGCUCAACUCAGGAAUUGCAUUCGAAACUGGCAGGCUUGAGUACGGGAGAGGGGGUGGAAUUCCUGGUGUAGGGGUGAAAUUCGUUGAUAUCAGGAGGAACACCGCGCGAAGGCGGCCCCUGGCCCGCA